UUUAAUCCAUUCUAUUCAAUAUAUAUUCAAAUCCAUAAAUAAGAUUUCCAUAACAUUCAAGCAUUCAUUCAAAUUAAACACAAUUUCCAACCAUUCAUUAACUUUCAAUAAUACAUUCAAGUUUCAAACUACAACUUUCCAUUACAAUUUUACAAACCAAAUCCAAAUGUCCAAACCAAAAUUAAUAACCUCCCAAUCUAUUUUUUCUAAGUCAGCUGCACCUAAAUAUGACGCGUUCAUUAGCACCUAUAUCCUGCAAAUGUUCUCAGUAACACUGCAUUCUGCAAGAUUUCUCAUAAUAGGCAUAUGACAAAAAAUUUAACCUGCAAAACUAAUUCAAUGUGCAGUUCAUGACAGAAAUACAGGAAAAACGUGCCCUGCCAAACCAAUGAAUGAAGGAAAAUAUAGGAAAUUCAAACCAGUAUCCACCUGCAUAACUCACAAAAAGCAUUUAGACUAAGCAGAACCAUCCAUUCAAAACACGCAAGCGAGAGCUCUAUUAACAGUAC
rnacentral:lncRNA from 1 species